rnacentral:lncRNA from 1 species
UAAAAUCUUAAGUCUUCAUCUUCUCCCUCAACCUAAGAAUACACAUAACGGAUACACUACCAAAAAACAAGAGUGAACCCUACACCAGCAGCCACCCCAACCCCCUCACCUUUCCAGCGGUCCAACCAAAAGCCAUUAGAUACACACCCAACAACAAUACCCGCUGCUCACUCCUCUUCCAUUAACGCCGCCAACUCCACCCUCCCCAAAACCUUAAGCCAGCCGGAGACAACAGCAACACGACCAAGACCACACCAAACGAACCCCAUCUACACCUCACUCUCCUCCACACCCUAAACUCCAUCAGCAGCCUGCCAACCGCCAGCGCACCACCACUCAGCAGAAACAGCCACCAAAUCGCCAAAAAUCAACAGCUACACGACCUCCCUUGACCAAAUCUGUUUCCACAAAAGUUCAUCAAGAAGUAGCCGUAGCUCACCGGCCACCAUCUCCCUAAUACCAAAAGUCUUCGCCCAUCACCUCUGUCGCCAUGGUUGAUCAUCGGCGAGCGACGACUCCAUUAGUAGCGGAUUCAAAGGGACCAGAGACCCCUCCUAAUUUCAUCAUCUCCCUCUCAUUAACACAUACGCACGCACCAAAACACAUUGUACACUCAUACAGUCAACAAAAGAGAAGAAGUGAAAACCGAGUUGAAAAAAAAUAUUUGUUCGUUUUUCGAUUCUAGAGUCUGGAACUUCAAAUAAAUUCUUCUUUAAUGUUGGAGUUGGGUUCGAAUUCGAUUGAGCUGUGUGCUGUUCGAAGUUGGUUUGUUGUUCCGUCCUAGUUUCCUGUCAUAUUUAAGUUUCACCUGUAGCAUUUGGUGCAUUCGCUCGUGUAACUGUGGGAAAUUUCAUCAAUUAAAAAUGUAUGCGAGUUCUUAUUUGGUGAGAUUUUGUCCGUCAAGUUUCGAGUCUGUUUCAUGGCAAGCUACUGUAAUUGCUUGAGGUUCCUUCUAACUUUCCUCUUUGUUGCUAUAUUCUAUUACAUGUUCAUCUUUGUUGCUACAUUCUAUUACAUGUUUAAAUGGUGUAUUUUGCUUUCAGUUUUACUGAUUUGAUGA